UACAGGACCAUACUGGACGUGGAUAUUGAAUCAUUUGAGGAGAAGUUGUGGAGGUAUCCUGGAGUUGAUAUAACAGAUUACUUCAAUUUUGAUUUGAACGAGGACAGCUGGAAAUAGUACUGCAACUCCCUGGAACAACUUCGGCAGCUCAAGUCCAUGCAGUAUGGCAUGCCUGGCUCUUCAAAAUUUUAUCAGGCUAAAGAAGCUGGAUCCGAGUAUGGCAGAUUCACCCAGGAAAGAAAUGAAUUAUGCUGGAUCAUGGGCAUAUGCUCCUCCGUCAUCAACAGUUUCUGAUUGCAGACCAAAAGGGAAAGCAAUUCAGAUAGAAGAUAGUGUUGUUGAACACCAACCAUCUUUUGAUAGUUGGGAUCCCAUGUACAUUAGGGGCGGUGAUCUAUGAUAUCUAAUCACAGAGAUAGUGGUCUUGGGUGUUUUCCCAGAUUUUUGAAGUGGACGAAGUUACCUAAGUUAACUGGACCUGGAUUUUUGAUAGCUCCUUGUUCUCACAACAAAGACCAGAUGGCUAACUAGAUGAAUGGAUUGGUUGGGAGGUUUGGUUUUGGUUUAUGGCUUGGAAUUGAAAUUUGUCACAUCAAUCAAUCUGUCCAGUUCAAUUAUUCAAGGUGCAAUGAAGUCUUUGUUCUUGUUGGAGGGAGAUUAGAGGUACUAAUUAAUGGAUUAAGUGGGUUAUGGGUUUGGGUGCGAGCAAAUUGAAGCACGUUUGCAGGUGUGAAUGCUAGGCAAGUGUGGAAUUUACAUUUUGUGUAGGUGCGUGGUUGCGCGUGAGGUGGUUGAUGGUGACUCGUAUGGAGUGGAGGAGGUGAUCAGGGACCUCAAAUCAAUAUUGGAUCUCUUAAUCCAAAUGGUAGUGUUCCUUAUAGUGGAGGAGUUCCUCAGCAAAAUACAGGGAUUAUGCUGCAGAAAAAUGGUUUUCAGCACUAUAAUGGCUUUCAGCCAAAUGGUGGGCCUUUCUAGCGUAUGGUAAAUUUUCACAACAACCUCAAGGGCUCAAGGUUUAUCUCAAUUUCGCUGUGUACUAAUAAUACUAUUCUCACAGCAACAGAUGGGUUACUCUCCAAAUAUUGGUUAUUAUAAUAGUGUUCAAGUAAACCCAAAUAUGUGUUUGGCCCAAACCCUAGGUUACUUGACCUAGUGGUAAUAGGGUUAAAUUAGAAGGAUCUAGAUUCCUAUUCAAUGUACGAUUACUUUCCUUGUAUGAU